ensembl:snoRNA
AGCAUUUGUGUUUCUUUUUAACUUGUGGACAAAGAUUUACAGACAACUCCAAAAAAUAAAUCCUCUUUUGCAACCCAGAACUCGCUGUUCAGUAUGAGUUUUGAGAAAUAUAUAUAAGGAGUAUG